rnacentral:lncRNA from 1 species
AUGUCCCCAGGGAUACCCGGCACUCCCUCCACAGAGUUUCCAAAGCCUCCUCCAGUAACACUCCCAGAGACUACAGAAGAAAUCCCAGUGACCAUGACCACUCCAGUCACAAAACACCCUGUCCAGCGUCCAGGGACACUGCAAUGCCACCUCUGUGUUGCCACCCCAGCCGCAGUGAGCCCCCCAGAAUUUCUCUGGGUCCCUCAGUGUGCCUUCCCAGUGCCCCCUCUUACAUCCCCAGUGCUCCCCAUUGCCACUGCGGCCACCACAGCAAAACUGAGUUUCCCAAGGAGCACCACAGUAACUGCCCAGUGUUCCCCCACCUCGGUGACUCCAGGCCUUGCCAGGACUGCCCCAGUGACCCCAGUCACUGUGUCACACAGCCCAGUGUCCCUGUGUCACACAGUCCAUGUCCCAGUGUCACACAGUCCAUGUCCCUGUGUCAAACAGCCCAGUGUCCCAGUGUCACACAGCCCAGUGUCCCUGUGUCACACAGUCCAUGUCCCAGUGUCACACAGUCCAUGUCCCUGUGUCAAACAGCCCAGUGUCCCAGUGUCACACAGCCCAGUGUCCCUGUGUCACACAGUCCAUGUCCCAGUGUCACACAGUCCAUGUCCCUGUGUCACACAGCCCAUGUCCCAGUGUCACACAGUCCAUGUCCCAAUGUCACACAGCCCAUGUCCCUGUGUCACACAGUCCAUGUCCCUGUGUCACACAGCCCAGUGUCCCAAUGUCACACAGCCCAUGUCCCAGUGUCACACAGUCCAUGUCCCUGUGUCAAACAGCCCAUGUCCCAGUGUCACACAGCCCAGUGUCCCAGUGUCACACAGCCCAGUGUCCCAGUGUCACACAGUCCAUGUCCCUGUGUCACACAGCCCAGUGUCCCAGUGUCACACAGUCCAUGUCCCAGUGUCACACAGUCCAUGUCCCAGUGUCACACAGCCCAUGUCCCUGUGUCACACAGCCCAUGUCCCAGUGUCACACAGUCCAUGUCCCAGUGUCACACAGCCCAUGUCCCUGUGUCACACAGUCCAUGUCCCAGUGUCACACAGUCCAUGUCCCAGUGUCACACAGUCCAUGUCCCUGUGUCACACAGCCCAUGUCCCUGUGUCACACAGUCCAUGUCCCAGUGUCACACAGUCCAUGUCCCAGUGUCACACAGUCCAUGUCCCUGUGUCCCGUCUGUCCCCAGCGCUCCCCUCCCCGCGCCGCGGCUCUCCUGCAGCGCCCCGCUCGGCCGCCAGAGGGCGGAAGCGCCCAGCGCAACUCCCAGUACAGCCCAGUACAGCCCAGUACAGACCAGUACAGCCCAGUGCCUCCAGUACAGCCGUGCAUACCGACAGUACUCACACCAGUGCCUCUCAAGACUGGCCAGAGGAGCACAGUAUCACCUCCAUUACCCCAAAAUUGAACAGAGUGCCCUGCUACAGCCCAGUACCGCCCACUACAGCCCCAGCCACCCCUACAGAUCCAUUACCACUUCCCUACCACUGCCAGUGUGCCCAGUACAACCUCCAAUACAGCCCAGGCCCUUUCAGAACUGACCCCAGUACCUCCUGGGACUACUCAGAGGAGCUUGGUACUGCCCCCAUAUCAAAGUGCUCCCAGCAUCAUCCACUUCCACCCCCAGUGUGCUUUGUAGUCCCUCCCCUGCUCCAUAGCCCCAGUAUCACCAAGUACCAGCUCCCAGCACUAUAUCCGAGUAUCCAGCACUUUCCUCAGGGUCCCCAGUGUUUUCCCGUGCCCGCAGUAGUGACUCUGAGUGCUCCUGGUGCCUUCAGCAACACGCAGUGGUGGGGCAGCCACCAGCCCAGCCCAGUGUACCCCCACACCCAGGAGCAGCACCCACUACCCUGUGCUGCCCCCAGCACCAGUGACCCGCUGCUCCCCCGGGGCAGGGCAAGCACCCCGGCAGGGCUCCGGGGAUUUCCAGGUGGGGGCCACGUUCUGUCCCCGACAGAGCACACACGGCCGUCUGUCCCAAAGCCAGUGUUUAUUUGGGAGUGCCCCUACCUGCAGCAGGGGGCACCUACUCAGCCCUGGUCACCCCUGCGUUUCCCAUGUACAACUAUUUACAGCCCUCCACACCCACCGGGGUGCCCAAAGAGGGGGGCUGAUGGGCUGGGUGCCUCAAAGACCUCUGGGUGCCACUGCCACUAAGCACCAGCAGCUGCUCGAGGAUUUACACCAGCAUGGCCCCUUCUCCUUCCCUUCUCCAUCCAAAGACCCUGGGGCCAAGACCCCACUAUUGCCUGAACACCUCAGUCCUACCUUGAGGUCCUAUCCCACCCCUGCCAAGCCCCCAAGGAGGGGACAGAGCCGUGUACCCUCACCCCUCCUCCUCAGCUUGCCUGGUGGUCUACAGCUUCCCCACAGAAAGCACUUGCUCCUCCAUAACCCUGUGGGGAAACUGAGGCACAAAACUAUGAUGGUCAUGCCCAGCUUGCAGUGGACAGCCCUUGUCUGGCACUGCCUGCCCCAUGCCUCACCCCCCUGCUCCCCAGGGCAUCUUCCCCUCCCUCACAAGGACAUCCAUGCCCCAGCACGGUGCCACGCCCCAGCUGUGUGGGAGAGGGGCUGUGGUGACCCAUGGUUCCUGCACAACAGGAUCUGGGGGUCCUUGGCAGGGGGAACAACAGCGAUGGUGGCUGCAGCCACCUCAAGGGUCCCUGCUCCUCCCCAGAGGUCCUUGCUCCUCCCUGGAGCUGGGAGGUAGGGGUACACCACCCCAGUGACUAUGUACAGCCUACAAAUAAAUACCACCUCCCUUGGGAGGGGGAAGCGCGU